rnacentral:lncRNA from 1 species
GAACAGCCUGGCGUCGCCUGCCAUGAAGGGGUGUCGCAAGAAAUUCCUUCCACCUCAGCACCGCGGGAAAGCGUCAGUGAAGCACCUCGGUCUUCAAAAGCCGGCAAGGAAUUUCAUGACUGGCUCCUUCACAAUAUGCCAGAAUUCUCUGACAGCGUUCAGCCUGUCCUGCAAGGAAAAGCAGUUUCAGAAAGGCUGCAAAAAAAAAAAAACUUUCCCGGCAGCUACGCGCAGAAUUGACCUUGUUUCUGGAUGAGAAUAAUCACAUUACCACUGGGAACAAAGGGGAGCGUCGCUCAAUGUACAAAGUCCUUGGUGAAGCACUCGCCGCGAAAUACCCAAUGAUGUUGUGGGAUG